rnacentral:rRNA from 1 species
AUUGAACGCUGGCGGAAUGCUUUACACAUGCAAGUCGAACGGCAGCACGGACUUCGGUCUGGUGGCGAGUGGCGAACGGGUGAGUAAUGUAUCGGAACGUGCCCAGUCGUGGGGGUUAGCCCGGCGAAAGCCGGAUUAAUACCGCAUAUGCCCUGAGGGGGAAUGCGGGGGACCGAAAGGCCUCGCGCUAUUGGAGCGGCCGAUGGCUGAUCAGCUAGUUGGUGGGGUAAAGGCCUACCAAGGCGACGAUCAGUAGCUGGUCUGAGAGGACGACCAGCCACACUGGGACUGAGACACGGCCCAGACUCCUACGGGAGGCAGCAGUGGGGAAUUUUGGACAAUGGGCGAAAGCCUGAUCCAGCAAUGCCGCGUGUGCGAAGAAGGCCUUCGGGUUGUAAAGCACUUUUGUUUGGAAAGAAAAGGUUUGGGUUAAUACCCUGGACUGAUGACGGUAGCAAUCGAAUAAGCACCGGCUAACUACGUGCCAGCCGCCGCAGUAA